AGUAAUGUAUGGGGAUCUGCCUGAUGGCGGGGGAUAACUACUGGAAACGGUAGCUAAUACCGCAUAACGUCGCAAGACCAAAGAGGGGGACCUUCGGGCCUCUUGCCAUCGGAUGCGCCCAGAUGGGAUUAGCUAGUAGGUGGGGUAACGGCUCACCUAGGCGACGAUCCCUAGCUGAUCUGAGAGGAUGAUCAGCCACACUGGGACUGAGACACGGUCCAG
rnacentral:rRNA from 1 species